CCUACGGGAGGCAGCAGUGGGGAAUAUUGCACAAUGGGGGAAACCCUGAUGCAGCGACGCCGCGUGAGUGAAGAAGUAUUUCGGGAUGUAAAGCUCUAUCAGCAGGGAAGAAAAUGACGGUACCUGACUAAGAAGCCCCGGCUAACGACGUGCCAGCAGCCGCGGUAAUACGUAGGGGGCAAGCGUUAUCCGGAUUUACUGGGGGUAAAGGGAGCGGAGACGGCCAGACAAGGCAGAAGUGAAAGCCAAGGGCUCAACCCUGGGACUGCUUUUGAAACUGCCGGGCUGGAGUGCAGGAGAGGUAAGCUGCAUUCCUAUUGUAGCGGUGCCAUGCGUCGCUAUUAGGAGGACCCCCAGUGGCGCAGGCGGCUUACUUGACUGUACCUGCCGUUGCGGCUCGACCGCGUGGGGAGCAACCAGGAUUAGAUCCCCUGGUAGUC
rnacentral:rRNA from 1 species